rnacentral:lncRNA from 1 species
UUUCCGCUGGCGCUGCCCGCCUUCGACCCGGUGUUGCCGCUGCGGCGGUGAUGGAGCGUAGACCCCUGAGGUCCGCUCUGCGCUGCUGGCGGAGACGAGGCCGCGGGGACCGCAGCGCCGGGCGACCACACCCUUGGUUUGAGGGACAAGCCUGCCUUUUGCGCACUUGGACUUUUCCCCACCCUCUUCUAAGUCUUAGUGCCUCCGUACCAGAUAAAGAUUUGCCUGAGAUUCCCAAGCAUCUCAAUGCCGGUACCCACAGUUCUAUUCACAUUUGUCCAACGAAUGUGAAGAAAACAGCAACCAAAUGACAGCCACAGAAUUGCAUCAAAAUGAUGCCGUUCGAGACAGGAAUUGUCACAGCACCAAAGCCAUUUCAAAUGCUUCGAGUCUGUGCCUUCUUUCUGCGCAAGGGACACGUGACUUGAAACUCUGUGGGCUCUGCAAACCUCAUUUGUUAGCUGGGAAAUUGAGACACAAAAGAGGCAUGUGGUUCCUCGCUGGGUCUGAACUCGGUUCCGUUCCCAAGUGGAAGGAACCGCCCAUCCUGCUGACCGUGUGGGAAGCCCUGCUGUCACUGCUCUCGCUGCUUCUGGGCUUGUGGGGAGUGUGGAGUCAGCAGUCUGUCCUGUUUCCGUCACCGGCCACAUCUCUUCCUCUGUGUUGUGCCCACGGCAAAGGGACCAGCGGAGUUCACGGUCUCAGCCCCGGGGAGGGGCAGUGAGAGGUGAACCACACGCCUCCUGCAAAGAACGAGCUAGAUGCACAUUCAGUGUUGAAUCGCUCAAGAAACUCUGCUCUGCUAAGACUGUGUGCGUAGAAGUGAGAUGGGGAGUUCCUGCUGUGGCUAAGUGGGUUAAGAACCCGAGCCGUAUCCAUGAGGACGCAGCUUCGAUCCCUGGCCUCACUCAGUGGGUUAAGAUCCUGCAUUGCCGUGAGCUGUGAUGUAGGUCACAGACUCGGCUUGGAUCUGGUGUUGCUGUUGGCUGUGGUGUAGACCCACGGCGGCAGCUCCAGUUGGACCGCUAGCCUGGGAACCUCCAUGUGCUUCAGGUGCCCCUAAAAAGGAAAAAAAAAAGAAGUGAAGUGGGAGAGCUUGCAGGUUUACCUGCCUCGCCCCGGCCAUCGCUGUCACUUGCAUUCGAGACUACAGACACACGGUGGGGGUGGGGGGCCAGGGGCUGCGGAGUCGUCGUUUCGUCUGCACGGAGUCCUGGUUUUGCAGGAUGGCAAGAGUUCUGGGACGGGAGCCACUGCAGGUGCUUUAGCGCCAUCGAGCUCACCCCACCCUUAAGGACGGUUAAAACAACACAAUUUAUGUUCUGUGCAUUUCCCCACAAUUAAAAAAUCAAUUUUAUAAAAAGCUAGAGGGUAAGUCUAACUCAGGGAGUCAGAAUUCCGAAGUGGCCUGUGAUUCCUCCUGGCCCAGCCCCACUGCCACGCAGUCGCCUGUUGCCUAUGGCGGCCAGACCUGUGAAUACGAUGGGGUUUCACUCCUGUCAUUGCUUAUCUGGUAAAGAUAAAGCGGUUAUGGAUGUGAUUCAGGUCCCUAAUCAGUGGCCUUUGACGUCGUUAAGGGGAAGGUCAGCCUGCGUGGGCUCACCUGGCCUAACCCUUGCCCAGAGGGCCUCCUGAGCGCGAUCUGAAGCCGUGGCUCCGAGAAGUGCCGAGUCGUGGAGCAGCCCACGAGGGAGGGCGGGGGGCCGAGGGGGCUCCCCUGCUCCUGUGUCACAGUGACCCCAGUGCCACCAACAGCCAGACAGCUUGCCGGGGGACCCCCUCCUCCCAGAGGAGACCCUGCAGAGGCCUCUGUGCCUGGACCCCUGACCACAAGGGGCGUGAGCUCCCGAGCCUGUGUUGUUGUGAAGGGCUGAGUUUCUGCUACUCUGGCGGCAGCAGAAGACAGAUAUUAAUCCUGUGGUCACUGGACGUGUCCAUUGGGCAUCUGUGGUCACUAGCCGUCUGUGGCCUCUCGCUGGGAUUCCACGGACCUGGCUGCUUCUUGGCUCGGGCAGGGGGCGGGGGGGUCAAACGUGCUCACCUGUAUUUUUGGCCACGCCUGUGACAUGCAGCAGUUCCUGGGCCAGGGCUUGAACCCAUGCCGCAGCAGCAACCAGAGCCACACUGGAUCCUCACACACUGAACCACCAGGGAACUCCCGGGUGAUCCCUUCCUCAUCCUCCUUCCCUGAUGUUUGAAAACAUCAAACGAAGUCAUGUUAAAUCUGUUAGAAGAUGUUUUGAUGCAAAAAUACAUGAUUAUCUGGAGACUGUAUCUGCUUAUAUGUUCAUGAUCCGUCUUCCUAAACAGGAAUGGCCGCUCCGUGUGAGAUCAGGGCUCUUGUUCUCCUACCUCCGCGGCACCCGUGCCGAGGACACGACACACAGCUGGAGAAAUGUACGUGAGCCCCAGAAAUCAGGUCCAGUUUGCAUGCGCUCUCAUGACAGUACCACGGCCUAGAUGUUAAUAAAGAGAAAACAUCAGCACUUUUCUCUUGGAAACUUUGUAAUCUAACAGUCCAUGGAUUUAUCCCUCACAUAACUCCUAAAACAUAACUUAGGAGAUACUAGUUUUAAUUAAGUAUAUUCACCCGCGUGCCAGAAUUUGAUCACUUCCUUAACAUAAGAGCUGAAGAAACAGAGCAGACGAAACCGGAGGAAGAGUGCACGUGUUCUACCGCAGACACCCACUCCCAGGGACCGUGACAACAGCCGAGGGUGGCAGGGUUCCGCCCUGCCCAGAACGAGGGCUCGGGUUUGGUGCCGUCCCACGAGCCAGCACUGCGGAUCUCAGGGUAAAGAAGUGAGCUCCCGAGACUGUUUUCUAGCAGACAGGUCCCCUCGGUGCGUGGCACUUGGGGUGAAUUUUCAAGCUUGGACCCGUGAGAGAGGGCGGAAACAAAGCAGCAUUGGCUCGUCUCAGAGCCAGAUCGAUGUGGAAGAUUUUCCAGUUUGUCACUCCAACGGCUAGAAUGUGCCAGGAAGAUGGAAGCGUGUGGGCAGGAAUGGGAAUCUGGUUCUUUUUAGAGGACGACGUGGGCCCCAUGAGACCUAAGACCCAGGUCGUCUGAAGACCUAAGAGGGGCCGAUACAAGAACGUUGUGUGGCCCUUUCACUCUCUUAGUAGGAAUACACCUGCAAAUGGUUCUUUCCUUUUUUCUCUAUUCCUCCUCAGGGCACCUUCCUAAACCUCGGCCAUCCCAUAAAUCAAAAGACUCUCCUGAUUCCUCUAUGUGUUUUUGUUUUUUUCUCUAACUAGGGACACGCCUAACUCCACCACUUUCCAUGUCUGCCUUUCACUUUAAAAACUGUAGUAUGGAUUUAAAAUAGCAUUUGGGGAGUUCCCGUUGUGGCUCAGUUGGUUAAGGACCUGAUGUUGUCUCUCUGAGGAUGUGGGUUUGAUCCCUGACCUCAUGAAGUGGGUUAAGGAUCCAGCAUUGCCACAAGCUGUGGUGUCGCAGCUGCAGCUCUGAUUCGACUCCUGGCCUGGGAACGUCCAUAGGCUGCAUGUGUAACUCUAAAGAGAAUUGAAAAAAGGAAGGAAAGAAGGACGGACGAGAAAGAAAGCAGAAGAGGUCACCUUUGGGACAAGCUGAGAAAGGACUUCGCGUAAAAGGAAUAGGAAACCUGGAGAAGAAGCUGAAUGUUCCACGAUUAAAAUACGGACUCCGGUUGAGAAACUCCUGGACCAGGAAAAUUCUAACAUGUUGAUGUGUGCAGUGUGACUAAAACGUCUGUAUUUAUGUCUCUGGCUCUGUUUUGUUUCUAUGUAUAUUUGACCCUUCCCCCCCAUCGAAUUUGUGUCAUUUCAUUGCAUUUCGUGUCUCCCCAAUUCACCUCAAAUUCUCUUUGUAUAUGUAAUACCCCACCUCCAACCAACUUGUGAGCCACCCUUAGUUAUCUUUUAUUUACGGCAGAAUCAUCAAUAGAUGCGCUGUAAUAUCAAA